rnacentral:rRNA from 1 species
CGAGGGGCAUCAGGAAGAAAGCUUGCUUUCUUUGCUGGCGACCGGCGGACGGGUGAGUAACACGUAUCCAACCUGCCCUUUACUCGGGGAUAGCCUUUCGAAAGAAAGAUUAAUACCCGAUAGUAUAAUGAUUCCGCAUGGUUUCAUUAUUAAAGGAUUCCGGUAAAGGAUGGGGAUGCGUUCCAUUAGGUUGUUGGUGAGGUAACGGCCCACCAAGCCUUCGAUGGAUAGGGGUUCUGAGAGGAAGGUCCCCCACAUUGGAACUGAGACACGGUCCAAACUCCUACGGGAGGCAGCAGUGAGGAAUAUUGGUCAAUGGGCGCUAGCCUGAACCAGCCAAGUAGCGUGAAGGAUGAAGGCUCUAUGGGUCGUAAACUUCUUUUAUAUAAGAAUAAAGUGCAGUAUGUAUACUGUUUUGUAUGUAUUAUAUGAAUAAGGAUCGGCUAACUCCGUGCCGGCAGCCGCGGUAAUACGGAGGAUCCGAGCGUUAUCCGGAUUUAUUGGGUUUAAAGGGAGCGUAGGUGGACUGGUAAGUCAGUUGUGAAAGUUUGCGGCUCAACCGUAAAAUUGCAGUUGAUACUGUCAGUCUUGAGUACAGUAGAGGUGGGCGGAAUUCGUGGUGUAGCGGUGAAAUGCUUAGA